UACGUAGGGGGCAAGCGUUGUCCGGAUUUAUUGGGCGUAAAGAGCGUGUAGGCGGCUAUGCAGGUCCGCUGUGAAAACUCGAGGCUCAACCUCGGGCCUGCAGUGGGUACGGGCAGACUGGAGUGCGGUAGGGGAGAAUGGAAUUCCUGGUGUAGCGGUGGAAUGCGCAGAUAUCAGGAGGAACACCGGUGGCGAAGGCGGGUCUCUGGGCAGUAACUGACGCUGAGGAGCGAAAGCGUGGGGAGCGAACAGG
rnacentral:rRNA from 1 species